rnacentral:lncRNA from 1 species
GCCUUGUGCCGCGCCCUGAAGGAGCCAUACCAGCCACAAAGAAAGACAACAUGCUUACCCAUCACUGUGCGUCUGUCUGUAUGUAUGUAUGAAUGUUCAUGGGGAGGACGCAGCCGGCGGUUUCGUAUUUCUUACCUCCAAAAUCCAUAGCUCGCUGCGAACGACUAAAGCGAAUUCGACAAAUGAAGAAGGUCAAAACAUGGAUCAAAAAAACAAUUCCCGAUGCCGUUGACCAAAAAAUAUUUGGAUUUACCCUGAUUUUAAGGAGGAGGAAAUCCAGAUGAUGCCUGAAGGGCACCAAGUGAAGAGGUCCACAAACCCGGAAGGAAAGAAAGAAACCAAGCCCGGUCACAACAAGGCUGCGGAAACUGCGGCACAGCCCUGGGUGCGGAUGAGGAUAAGGAUAAACAACACAACCGAAAGUUCUAGAAGCUAAAACGACCUUAACCGUUUCCUGACAAAGGAAAAAGUGACAAGCGACACACACACACACACACACACACACAACGCAACAGACACGACUCUUCACUAAAAACAGAAAGCCUGCGCACGCGCCACACAAACUCCUCUUUUGCAUUUUAUCCCUCUCGUAAGGGAAAGGGGGGGUUUUAGACCUCAAGUGGUGUACUGCUACGUGGAGGUUGGUAGGGCGGACGAACGAUAAUGUCGUACAGAUCGAGCGUUACAUACCUUCGGAACAUGAACACCGCCAGCUCCGUCAGCUGCGUCCACACCAAUCCGUACGUACGAGAAGCCGCCUGGCGGCCCGCCGUGGCGACGGCGUCGUCACUCGCCACGGGUACCGCAGCCGUGCUACCAGUCACGAACCUAUCUCACACCCCCACACCCCCGAUUCGCCCGGGGUGUAUGGGGCGGGAAAAGCGCGGUUAAGGGGAGGGGGAGUUAGGGUUUUAAAUGAAGUGAAAGGUUUUGGAGUGACCCUUAUACAUCAGGCCAGCGAGACCCACCGACCCGCGGGUCGGUCCUACCACCGUUAUCACGCUUUUAACCUUUGGAAAAUUCCUGGACAUAUUCCUGGGCAGCCCGCACCCUACCUGCCCAGCACGUCAUGUCGAUCAACCAAGCAGCUUCGUGUCCCGCACUGCGCCGCGAGCACCUCAGCCAGCUUGGGGGCGGAGGUGUGGGGACCGGAGUGACCCCUGCCGUACGAGGGACCUGUUGCAGAGGGCGGGGGGAAGAGGGGGGGGAGAGGGGGUUACAGCAAGGUGCUUUUUAAAUCAUCAGGUAGCCCAUCCAGCUUGGACUUUAUUGGACCAAUUCCACCUCCUCCCCCUCCUCUCGCAGACCCCUCCC